UUUCCAGUUUGAUGUGAUUAGGAGUAAUUAAAAUUUUCAUUGUAAUUUUCACAUUCCCUAACUUGCUGCAGUGAAAAAAAUGUGCUUUUAAAAUAAGAAAAAUGGGCCAAGGAUUUAGCUCAGUGGUUCUGCCACUUAUCUUGCAAGCACAAGGUCCCAAGUUCGAUCCCCAGUACAAAAAGAAAGAAAAAUGAUCUGGGCCUGGUAGUGCACACCUGUAAUCCUAGUACUCUGGGAGUCUGAGGUGGGAGGAUGGUGGGUUAGAACCCACCCCAGGAAACUUAGUGACUUAAUGAGACUGUCUCAAAACAAACAAGAAAGACCGGGGAUAUAGCUCAGUGAAAAGCCCUGGGUUCAGUCCUCAGUACUGCAAAACAUAUUACCAAUUGAUAUUGGUUGGUGGAAGGUGUAUCACACAGCAGGAAAAAUUGUCUCAAAUAAAAUUUUUAUAGGCAGAGGUGUCUGAGUUAAAGACCUUGAUAGCAUUGAGCUGAAUUCCUUUAGUUUCACUUGCCUUGGGCUGGAUGGAAAGAUUCAGGUGACUGUGAUUGGGCUGCACACCAGUCACAAUUCUUGGUUGCAAAUAACAGAAAGCAACACCAGCUAAAGUAAGCAGGAAAGGAGUGUAGUGGAAGAUAUCAGGUGGUUUGCAGAAGGCUGGAGAUCUCAGCUUUGGAAAAUAAGCCAAAGACAAGGGGAGUGAGGAAGAGUCAGUAUCCCUCUAGUGGAAGAGGUAACCAGCUCCCAGGGCCCUAGCAUCUGAAUAGCACAUCCAAGUCAUUGAGCUUGUCCCCAUCUGAACUCAUGAUGUUGUGUCCUGGAAACUGUGAACCUGCUGCCACAGCCAUGUGGUUCCUGGCCCUUGUUUCCUUCCUUAACCCUGAGAGCAUUGGGUUGACCAGGCUUAAGAAUCCAGGAGAAGAUGCCUGCCCCAGGACCAUGGAGGAGCAGAAGUGUUCUUCCACUAUGAUGGGAGCCCUGCCUCCUUCUGUGGUGGAAAAAUUUCUACCUAGAAGUAUACCUGGGGCUCAACAGACAGAAUCUGCCCCAGCAGAGACUUCUCUAUCAAUGUCAUUCAGAUUGUGUUGUCAUAGUCACAAGCAUUUGGGGAAGAAUGCAAAUGUUAUUUUUUGUCAAAUCAUUCACAUUUCAGCAGAAAACACUAUUUGUGCUGUAUCGGUCAGAGCCAAUCACGUCAGCUGCUGUAACACACAACUGCAAGGUCUUGGUGCUGUAAGACCAAUUUUCACUCAUUUCUAGGCACUGUUUUAAGUGGUGUGAUGAAGCACUGAAUGGGAGAGACAAGAUUCUGUUUUCAGAGGAGCUCACAUUCUAACUGAGAAAGCUGAGAUGAGGAGAAGGAGGG
rnacentral:lncRNA from 1 species